UACAGAGGUCCCAAGCGUUGUUCGGAUUCACUGGGCGUAAAGGGUGCGUAGGCGGUCGGGUAAGUCUGACGUGAAAUCUCCAAGCUCAACUUGGAAAUGGCGUCGGAUACUAUUCGGCUUGAGGAAUGGAGGGGAGACUGGAAUUCUCGGUGUAGCAGUGAAAUGCGUAGAUAUCGGGAGGAACACCAGUGGCGAAGGCGGCUGCCUGGGCCAGUUCUGACGCUGAGGCGCGAAAGCGUGGGGAGCAAACAGG
rnacentral:rRNA from 1 species